rnacentral:rRNA from 1 species
AUUGAACGCUGGCGGCAGGCCUAACACAUGCAAGUCGAGCGGAUGAAGGGAGCUUGCUCCUGGAUUCAGCGGCGGACGGGCGAGUAAUGCCUAGGAAUCUGCCUGGUAGUGGGGGAUAACGUGCGGAAACGGGCGCUAAUACCGCAUACGUCCUGAGGGAGAAAGUGGGGGAUCUUCGGACCUCACGCUCUCAGAUGAGCCUAGGUCGGAUUAGCUAGUUGGUGGGGUAAAGGCCUACCAAGGCGACGAUCCGUCACUGGUCUGAGAGGAUGAUCAGUCACACUGGAACUGGGACACGGGCCAGACUCCUACGGGAGGGAGCAGUGGGGAAUAUUGGACAAUGGGCGAAAGCCUGAUCCAGCCAUGCCGCGUGUGGGAAGAAGGGCUUCGGAGUGUAAAGCACUUUAUGUUGGGAGGAAGAGCAGUAAGGUUAUACCUUGCUGUUUUGACGUUACCAACAGAAUAAGCACCGGCUAACCUCGUU